CACAGACUCCUACGGGAGGCAGCAGUGGGGGAUAUUGCACAAUGGGGGAAACCCUGAUGCAGCGACGCCGCGUGGGCGAAGAAGUAUUUCGGUAUGUAAAGCCCUAUCAGCAGGGAAGAAGAAAUGACGGUACCUGAGUAAGAAGCACCGGCUAAAUACGUGCCAACAGCCGCGGUAAUACGUAUGGUGCAAGCGUUAUCCGGAUUUACUGGGUGUAAAGGGAGCGCAGGCGACACGGCAAGCCUGAUGUGAAAGCCCGCGGCCCAACCGCGGGACUGCAUUGGGAACUACCGGGCUGGAGUGCCGGAGAGGUAGGCGGAAUUCCUAGUGUAGCGGUGAAAUGCGUAGAUAUCAGGAGGAACACCGGUGGCGAAGGCGGCCUGCUGGACUGCAACUGACGUUGAGGCCCGAAAGCGUGGGGAGCAAACAGGAUUAGAUACCCCAGUAUCC
rnacentral:rRNA from 1 species